GAGCUCAAGCUGAAAAUCUUCGGAAUUGUGGUCUAUAGGUGCGGACUCGCGCAGCCCAAGGUAUAAAUCCGUUCUUGGAAUUGGGUGCCAGAGAGGGUUAGAGCCCCGUCUUUGACUUUGGUAGCUGUGCGUGGCGAGUCUUUACCAGAGAGUCGGCUUGCUUGGGAAUGCAGGCCAAAAUGGGUGGUAAACUUCAUCUAAAGCUAAAUAUUGGCGAGAGACCGAUAGCGAACAAGUACUGUGAAGGAAAGAUGGAAAGAACUUUGAAAAGAGAGUGAAAAAGGGCUUGAAAUUGUUAAGAGGAGAAGUGAUUGGAGCAUAUCAUACGGCGUGGGGUUCCAGGGACGGGAUUAAUUCUGUCUUGCACCAUCCUGCGUUGUUGGUCAGCAUCGUUUCUGUGUGGGGGAGAAAACUUAUUUUGUUGAUGGCCUCGGCUUGAUCGGAGUUUGUGAAACCCUGGGCGGGAUCGAGGCAGCAAGUCUACGCUUGGCGGCCGGCCCCUUAUCCGUGGUUGCGGCGAUUGCACACCCUUUUUUGGCGUCUGUGGUUGUCGUGGGUAUGAUGUGAGGGAGCGCUGGACCUGUAGACUUAAGAUGCUGGCACAAAUGGCUUCAAUCAGCCCGUCUUGAAACACGGACCAAGGAGUCUAACACGUAUGCGAGUAGUAAGGUGGCAAACCUUGGAUGCGCAAUGAAAGUAAAUGUAGGUGGGAUCCGCAAGGUGCACCAUCGACCGACCAGGAUCUUUUUGUGAAAGGUUUGAGUAAGAGCAUAUUUGUUGGGACCCGAAAGAUGGUGAACUAUGCCUGAAUAGGGUGAAGCCGGAGGAAACUCCGGUGGAGGCUCGUAGCGGUACUGACGUGCAAAUCGUUCGUCAAAUUUGGGUAUAGGGGCNAAAGACUAAUCGAACCAUCUAGUAGCUGGUUCCCUCCGA
rnacentral:rRNA from 1 species